rnacentral:rRNA from 1 species
CACCACGCGCUCGAUAUGCUGGGGUCGAGGGCGGCGAGGAACGCCGGUGUUCGUUGCCGCCGUCGUCGAGUAGGACGUCCUGCUGAUUCACAUGCCCUUGCUGGCCUUGCACGGGCUGGACAUGUUGUCGUCGUCGACCAGGCCGCCGUGCCUGCGCUCCUCCUGCUCCAGCUCACGGCGACGGGCGACGGCCUCCUACUUCAUACUCCCGCUGAGUAUACAACAACUUCAGAUCCAGCCAGCAGCAUAGCUCCUCCCGCUGGUCCUCGCCGCCGUUGGUGCCCACGCUCCUCUCGGCUUGACUAAAAAAGGCACCUUUAACUCCAUCGAGAGGUGACGCGGGGCGAGCGGAAGAGGCGACGAGGGCUACGGCGACGUGGGCGAGAAGGAUGCGGGCGGCGACGCGGGCGAGAGGGAUGCGGGCGGCGACGUCGGAGGAGCUGGGGAUUUGGGCGACGAGUCGGAGGAGCUAGGGAUUUGGGCGGCGACGUCGGAGGAGCUAGGGAUUCAGGGAGCGACUGGUGAGACAGUGAGUGUGGAGA